rnacentral:rRNA from 1 species
AAUAGCUUGCUAAUGAAAUUCUUAGUGGCGGACGGGUUAGUAACACGUGAGAAUCCUACCCUUGAGUGGGGAAUAGCCUUUCGAAAGGAAGAUUAAUGCCCCAUAGUCUCUACGGAGUAAAGAUGCCUUCGGGUGUCGCUUAAGGAUGGGCUCGCGGCCUAUCAGCUAGUUGGUGAGGUAAGAGCUCACCAAGGCAACGACGGGUAGCUGGUCUGAGAGGACGAUCAGCAACACUGGAACUGAGACACGGUCCAGACACCUACGGGUGGCAGCAGUCGAGAAUCAUUCACAAUGGACGAAAGUCUGAUGGUGCAACGCCGCGUGGAGGAUGACGGCCCUAGGGUUGUAAACUCCUGUCAUCAGGGAGUAAGACUUAUUCGUUAAUAGCGUGUAAGUUUGAUAGUACCUGAAGAGGAAGGGACGGCUAACUUCGUGCCAGCAGCCGCGGUAAUACGAAGGUCCCAAGCGUUGUUCGGAAUAACUGGGCGUAAAGCGUGUGUAGGCCGCGCGG